rnacentral:rRNA from 14 species
GGUACGCGAGCUGGGUUUAGAACGUCGUGAGACAGUUCGGUCACUAUCCGCUGCGUGCGUAGGAAAUUUGAGAAGAUCUGUCUCUAGUACGAGAGGACCGAGACGGACAAACCUCUGGUGUGUCAGUUGUUCUGCCAAGGGCACCGCUGAUUAGCUACGUUUGGAUCGGAUAACCGCUGAAAGCAUCUAAGCGGGAAGCCGGCUUCGAGAUGAGAUUUCCAUGCCUUUUAGGCGAGAGGCCCCCAGCUAGAACACUGGGUUGAUAGGCCGGAUGUGGAAGCAGGGACUAAAGACCUGUGAAGCUGACCGGUACUAAUAGGCC